AAUUUUGGACAAUGGGGGAAACCCUGAUCCAGCCAUCCCGCGCGUAGGAUGAAGGCCUUCGGGUUGUAAAGUACUUUUGGCAGAGAAGAAAAGGUACCUCCUAAUACGAGGUACUGCUGACGGUAUCUGCAGAAUAAGCACCGGCUAACUACGUGCCAGCAGCCGCGGGAAGACGUAGGGUGCAAUCCUUAAUCGGAAUUACUGUGCGUAAAGCGUGUGUAUGCGUUUCAAAAAGAAAGAUGUGAAAUCCCAGGGCUCAACCUUGGAACUGCAUUUUUAACUGCCGAGCUAGAGUAUGUCAGAGGGGGGUAGAAUUCCACGUGUAGCAGUGAAAUGCGUAGAUAUGUGGAGGAAUACCGAUGGCGAAGGCAGCCCCCUGGGAUAAUACUGACGCUCAGACACGAAAGCGUGGGGAGCAAACAG
rnacentral:rRNA from 1 species